rnacentral:rRNA from 1 species
AUCGAUANCCCGCGUUAAUUUUACUUUAAUUUUGAAAUUUAUAUACCACCAUCUUAAGAAUUAAUAAAAAAAUAUUUUCCAAAAAAUAAAUAAAAAGUUAGGUCAAGGUUUAAUUUACAUUAAAGAAUAAAUGAAUUACAUUAAAUAUAAUUUAAAAACAUAACUAAAUAUAGUUACAAUAUAAGAAUUUAAAAGUAAUAAUCAAAUAAUAUUAAAAUAUGAUAUAGAUAAUAAAUGUGCACACAUCGCCC